AUAAAAUCACCAUGUCUGAUUAUAUUUAUUUGUUAUUGGAAAUCCCAAAUUAUCACAAAUUUUCCUGAUUUCCAUUAAUUUCGAUUUUUAGUUGUCAAUGCCGUUGAUAACGAGUGGUUUAAUUUAAAAAAUGCUCAUUCAUUCAAAACUUCUUUGAUGGAAUCUCAUUAAAUAUGAAGAAAUAAAUAAAAAAUAAUAAAAUUCAAUACAGAACUACGAUAGAGUCUAAAAGUACUGAAGUCUACUCUGGCGUUUUUCUACACCAUAACCGAAUAAUUACGAGGCCCGAAUAAUGUAUGCCGCUAACCUAUGAUCGCUGUGUAAUUUUGACAUCAUUGGCACACAUCAUCAUAUCCAGUGUUGCGUCCCGACAAGACGUACGAUAGCAUGGAAAUAAAUUUCAUUACGAUUACUCAUCGCUCUGGUUGCGGGUAACGGGGGGGAAAUAGGGGUGGAGGUACUUACGGUCUUGGAAGCCGAUCUGAGAGGCUGAUCUGGAAAUACUCC